UAUAGCUCAAUGGCAUAAGUGCCUGCCUGACAAGCAGAAGGUCCUGGGUUCAAUUCCCAAUA
rnacentral:tRNA from 1 species